UUCAUUUGUAAAAUGGCGACUACCUGUCUUUACUUCCCAGUGCUGUUCUGAAGAUCAAAGAGAAAAAAGGACCUACAAGCAAUGAUAUUCCAGUAGCAAUGUCAACUGAGAAUCAUUCUUGAAAGAUAGUUUUGCUGCCAGUUCUGGGAAAGCCUCAUCAUAUGGGUGGGAAAGGAUUGGGUGCCCUGGGCCAAGAUUGUUUCAGGUUCUGCCUUUGGGCAGACGCUGCAACCAGACGUAUGGAAGCAGGUUGACAUUCUUUCCUCGGCCUUACUCUCCAGAAGCUCCUGGAGAUACAAGUCACAAAGAGUGUGGAUUUCCAGAUUUGGGAGGAGAAAGAAGAAGGGGUCAUUUCUAAUACAACAGAGGGCAUACUACCAACUUCAUUGUUCUGCGACUCCCUUAGCCUCACCUGCUGUUGAGCACUACUCCACAGCUCUCCAACGCUUCUGGAGAUAUGAAGGUCAACCAGAGUAACUGCAUAGUCUGUCGGAGCUUCCAAAUCCCAAAACCUUGGGAGACUGCAGCAGAAAUAUAGCUAGCUCUUCAGAGGUCUCCCCUCUCUGCACAGCGAGUCCCUGCUGACUACUCUCCUGUUCUUUAGUAGCCAUUCCUCACCAGUCUCCCUUUCUCUUAUUCAAUUUCUAAUGCCCUCCUCCCCCAAUCCGAAUGCAGAUA
rnacentral:lncRNA from 1 species